rnacentral:lncRNA from 1 species
GAAAAUGUUCGGAUAUUUCAGUUUGGGCCCGACCUGAAGCAGAUCUCUUUUCCAGUUUUUUUUUUUUUUCAGAUCUGCUCCGAGAAAUCGGAGAUCUGCAGAAAAUAGCAGCCCUGGCUCUGCUCACCGCCAGCAGCGUCAUGGCCAACCCAAGGCUCUUGCUGGUGUUGGCACCCACUGCUCUGCAGUGAGGCAGCAAUUCCUCCCGCAUGACACGGCAGGGACCGGUCCAGCACCCGAAAAGUGUCUCUUCUGAAAUGCGACAGUCUCUGGUCAGGUCUCCAAUGCCAUAGGGGAAGGGCAUGUCAUCUUCCUUCCCAUACCAUCUUGUAUCACGCACCCAAGGGCUGGUGUUGGGAAUCCUACCGUUGGCUGUGACUCCAAGCAUGUCUCAGGAUUUGAGGCUCUCUGGAAGAUUUCUUGGGAUGGCACACGUGCGAUGGAGUUGUGCUUGAAGGCAAUGGGGCCCGCAGCGUUAUCCACAGGUCAUAGAUACUGAGUGGACAGGUGCAAACGUUUGAGACAAUUCUAGCACAAAAGUGUGCACGCUUUUUGGGUGAUGAGCGCCGUCAAAACUCUGAACUUUGAUUUCAGCACCGUCCAUCGGAGUGGGGGGGGAAC